AAGGCUUUCCGUAGGUGAACCUGCGGAAGGAUCAUUCAUAAUAAGUGUUUUAUGGCACUUUUUAAAUCCAUAUCCACCUUGUGUGCAAUGUCAGUCGGUCUUCUUUAUGGAGAUCGGCCAAACAUCAACCUAAUUUUUAACUCUUUGUCUGAAAAAUAUUAUGAAUAAAAUAAUUCAAAAUACAACUUUCAACAACGGAUCUCUUGGCUCUCGCAUCGAUGAAGAACGCAGCGAAAUGCGAUACGUAAUGUGAAUUGCAGAAUUCAGUGAAUCAUCGAAUCUUUGAACGCAUAUUGCGCUCUUUGGUAUUCCGAAGAGCAUGCUUGUUUGAGUAUCAGUAAACACCUCAAAACUUUUUUUUAUUUUUGAAAAACAGUUUUGGACUUGAGCAAUCCCAACACCAAUCUUUUUUAGAUCGGUGGCGGGUUGCUUGAAAUGCAGGUGCAGCUGGACAUUCUCCUGAGCUAAAAGCAUAUUUAUUUAGUCCCGUCAAACGGAUUAUUACUUUUGCUGCAGCUAAUAUAAAGGGAGUUUGACCGUUUUGGCUGACUGAUGCAGGAUUUCACAAGGGUCGGCAACGAUUCUUGUAAAACUCGAUCUCAAAUCAAGUAAGACUAC
rnacentral:rRNA from 1 species